UACGUAGGGGGCAAGCGUUGUCCGGAUUUAUUGGGCGUAAAGAGCGUGUAGGCGGCCAUACAGGUCCGUUGUGAAAACUGGAGGCUUAACCUCCAGACGUCGAUGGAAACCGUAUGGCUAGAGUCCGGAAGAGGAGAGUGGAAUUCCUGGUGUAGCGGUGAAAUGCGCAGAUAUCAGGAAGAACACCGGUGGCGAAAGCGCUCUGCUAGGCCGCAACUGACACUCAUGGACGAAAGCUAGGGGAGCGAAUGGG
rnacentral:rRNA from 1 species